rnacentral:misc_RNA from 1 species
ACAGACAGACAGACAGCAAGAGGACCACACAGACUUCCAAAGCCCCGGCCGCCACACCCUGCCCCCUCCAUUCUGGGUUCCCCCCGGCCCCCAGUCGACCAGACCCCCACCGUCGCCCACCGACACACUCACACACACGCUCUCACGCGCUCAGCCUCUGGCCUGGGGGCGGGGGCUGGGUCUCGCCUUAGGUGGCCAAGCCGAAGGGGACCUUUGAGACCUCGGAUGCGAGGAAGUCUUGGGGUCCCCACGGGUGAUUGCCAGCCCCAGGGCACUGCGCCCAGCCGGGGCCCGCCGGCCCACGGCUGACGCCCCCUCCCUUAGGGAAGCUGCUUCUUCCGCACGGCCUCUCUCUGAGGUGUGCCACGGUCUGUGCCAGUGUGUCGAUCUCGGAGCGGAUGCCAUCCCCUGUCCCCUGUCCUUCCUUCUCCCGUUCUCCGGCUCUCUGUCAGUCGCUCUGUGUCUCCCUGUCUCUGUCUCUCCCUCCCCGUGUGUGCCUGCGCGCUCGUGUCUGUCUGUCUGU